GGCUGGUUAGCUCAGUUGGUUAGAGCGUGGUGCUGAUAACUUUAAGGUCCCAGGUUCAAUCCUGUACCGGCCA